rnacentral:rRNA from 1 species
AUUGAACGCUAGCGGGAUGCUUUACACAUGCAAGUCGAACGUAGUGGCGACCGGGUGAGUAAUAUAGCGGAACGUGCCCAGUAGCGGGGAAUAACUACUCGCAUGCGUUGAUAAUACCGCCUACUAUUGGAGCGGCCCAUAUCGGAUUUGCUAGUUGGUGGGGUACGGGCUCACCACGGCAACGAUCCGUAGCUGGUUUGAGAGGACGACCAGCCAAACUUGGACUGAGACACGGCCCAGACUCCCACGGGAGGCAGCAGUGGGGAAUUUUGGACAAUGGGGGAAACCCUGAUCCAGCCAUCCCGCGUGUAUGAUGAAGGCCUUCGGGUUGUAAAGUACUUUUGCCAGAGAAGCGGUAUCGGCAGCAGAAGCAACGGCUAACUACGUGCCAGCAGCCGCGGUAAUUC